rnacentral:lncRNA from 1 species
GCUCUUCUUACCCUCUCCAAUUCUUUCUCUGUUUCUCUCACAGACAUUUUCCGUGGAUCUUUUACAUGUCUAAUUCCAUCUUGGCUUCUGCUUCUUGAAGAGCCAGAAGUAACACAUUUGUGACCUUGAGAUUACACACAGACGCAUGCAGCAUGGAGAUUUCUUCAACCCCAACUGAUGUGCAUUUCCUUGCUUGGGGUAUAAGACAGAGUGAUUGGCCAGUGCAUUAAGGAAGUAUUGAUUCAAACGAGGAGUCGCAUCUACCUAAUGGAGCUGAAAAAGAUCUGAGACUCUUAAAAAUGCAGUUAGCACCCAGUCUUCCUCAAAACCCUAAGGUUCAGCCAAUGAAGGAUUCAGCAGGAGACUGGAGAGCACAGGCAAGACAGUUUGAAAUAUUUAUUUCCACUGAAAUGCUACAGAUCUGUCAUUAGCUGUGAUAUUCCAUGACCACAGUUUCUGCAGGGCAACUUACCUUCCUGGCUCCAGCUCUCACUGCUUCGUUGCUUUGCCUCUUCAGGACUAGAGUUAAGAACUUAAGAUCCAGUACCAGGUCAUUUGCAAUUAGUCAGGACUGUGUGACUAUUCCUACACAGUGCAUCAUAAGUGGAAAUGACAUGGGAUACUUCUGGACUGAAGCAUGGAAGAGAAGGCAUGAAGUCUCCUGCCCUUCCUUUUUAUUCCUCAAUGACAGUGGCAGCACCAUCUUGAGAUAGUUUAGCCACUAGAUGGAAACAGCUGGAUUGCCAGAUCACUGCUUGGAAGGAGCUACAGAAUUUCCAUGAGAGAAAAAUAAAUGUUCAUAUGUCAAGCCA